rnacentral:rRNA from 1 species
AUUGAACGCUGGCGGCAGGCUUAACACAUGCAAGUCGAGCGAGCGGCGGACGGGUGAGUAAUGUCUGGGAAACUGCCUGAUGGCGGGGGAUAACUACUGGAAACGGUAGCUAAUACCGCAUACCAUCAGAUGUGCCCAGAUGGGAUAAGCUAGUUGGUGGGGGAAUGGCGCACUUAGGCGACGAUCCCUAGCUGGUCUGAGAGGAUGGCCAGCAAAACUGGAACGGAGACACGGGCCAGACUCCGACGGGAGGCAGCAGUGGGGAAUAUUGCACAAGGGGCGAAAGCCUGAUGCAGCCAUGCCGGGUGUGGGAAGAAGGCCUUCGGGUUGUAAAGUACUUUCAGCGAGGAGGCGGUACUCGCAGAAGAAGCACCGGCUAACUCCGUGCCAGCAGCCGCGGUAAUAC